rnacentral:rRNA from 1 species
UGAUCCUGGCUCAGGACGAACGCUGGCGGCGUGCUUAACACAUGCAAGUCGAGCGAGGCCCUCCUUCGGGGGGUGCCCUAGCGGCGAACGGGUGAGUAACACGUGGGCAACCUGCCCUCAGCUCUGGGAUAACUCCAAGAAAUUGGUGCUAAUACCGGAUGUGACCGCUGACCGCAUGGUCUGGUGGUGGAAAGAUUCAUCGGCUGAGGAUGGGCCCGCGGCCUAUCAGCUUGUUGGUGGGGUAAUGGCCUACCAAGGCGACGACGGGUAGCCGGCCUGAGAGGGUGACCGGCCACACUGGGACUGAGACACGGCCCAGACUCCUACGGGAGGCAGCAGUGGGGAAUAUUGCGCAAUGGGCGAAAGCCUGACGCAGCGACGCCGCGUGAGGGAUGACGGCCUUCGGGUUGUAAACCUCUUUCAGUAGGGACGAAGCGCAAGUGACGGUACCUACAGAAGAA